UACGUAGGGCGCAAGCGUUAUCCGGAAUUAUUGGGCGUAAAGAGCUCGUAGGCGGCUUGUCACGUCGGAUGUGAAAUCCCGAGGCUCAACCUCGGGCCUGCAUUCGAUACGGGCUAGCUAGAGUACUGCAGGGGAGACUGGAAUUCCUGGUGUAGCGGUGAAAUGCGCAGAUAUCAGGAGGAACACCGGUGGCGAAGGCGGGUCUCUGGGCAGUAUCUGACGCUGAGGAGCGAAAGCGUGGGGAGCAAACAGG
rnacentral:rRNA from 1 species